CUAUGUUCUAUUUUUAGCCAUGGCGGCCAUCUUGGUUGGUUGGCCAGGUCAUCGGACACAUUUUUUAAACUAGAUACCCCAAUGAUGAUUGUGGCCAAGUUUGGUUAAAUUUGGCCCAGUAGUUUCAGAGGAGAAGAUUUUUGUAAAAGUUAACGCAGGACGACGACGACGGACGACGACGGACGACGACGACGACGGACGCCGGACGCCAAGUGAUGAGAAAAGCUCACUUGGCCUUUCGGCCAGGUGAGCUAAAAAUG
rnacentral:lncRNA from 1 species